UACGUAGGGUGCAAGCGUUGUCCGGAAUUAUUGGGCGUAAAGAGCUCGUAGGCGGUUUGUCGCGUCUGCCGUGAAAGUCCGGGGCUCAACUCCGGAUCUGCGGUGGGUACGGGCAGACUAGAGUGAUGUAGGGGAGAUCGGAAUUCCUGGUGUAGCGGUGAAAUGCGCAGAUAUCAGGAGGAACACCGGUGGCGAAGGCGGAUCUCUGGGCCAUUACUGACGCUGAGGAGCGAAAGCGUGGGGAGCGAACAGG
rnacentral:rRNA from 1 species